rnacentral:lncRNA from 1 species
GCAUAUGCAAAAUUAUUAUCGUUAAUUUCAUACAGCUCCCUGUAAACAUAUUGAAUAUAAAAUAAAUCUCUACAAAGUUUAACUUUUCAUAUUUACUACUACGAAAGUCUAGUGAUAUUCAUAUUUGUCCGUCUGAUUUGUUACCACUAGAGUACUGCUUAUUUUUUACCAGAAGAUAAAUAAAUGAUAUUUUUGCCAUUACAAUCAUGUCUCUACAAAAAUUCCAACUAUUAGAAUUGUGCAGAAAUUUCCUCCCAAAAAAUUUCAACGGUCAUCUUUUUUCUUUCUUCCAUCACAAAUAAUGUAAGAUGAGUAAAAUGGCCAAUUUAUUUUAUUUACUAAUCAUGGUUAAAUAUUUUACCUAUGGUUAACUAAGUAUAUUUUUUUACCGAAUUCUAACAGUAUGAAUAUAUUUAAAAACGUUAGAACUUUUGUAGGAAUACAUAUAAAAAGUUAAACUUCGUAAAAUUUA